AGUCUUAUAGUCAAAUUAUGAUAUUAAAUUGCAAAUUUAAAGUUAAUGAAGUUAAUUUAAGGCUU
rnacentral:tRNA from 1 species